UAUGACCAUAUCACAUUGAAACAUUGGUUCUUAUAUGAUCACUGAAGUUAAGCAACAUUGAGCUUGGUCAGUAUCUAGCUGGGUGACCACUUGCAAAUGCAGGUGUUGUAA